AUACGUAGGGGGCGAGCGUUGUCCGGAUUUACUGGGCGUAAAGGGUGAGUAGGCGGUUAUAUAUGUCAGGUGUAAAAAGCUAUGGCUUAACCAUAGUAAGCACUUGAAACUGUAUGACUUGAGUGCAGGAGAGGGAAGCGGAAUUCCUAGUGUAGCGGGGAAAUGUGUAGAUAUUAGGAGGAACACCGGUGGCGAAGGCGGCUUACUGGACUGUAACUGACGCUGAGUCACGAAAGCGUGGGUAGCAAACAGGAUUAGAUACCCUGGUAGUCCACGCCGUAAACGAUGAGUGCUAGGUGUUGGGCAGCAAUGCUCAGUGCCGAAGUAAACACAAUAAGCACUCCGCCUGGGGAGUACGUACGCAAGUAUGAAACUCAAAUGAAUUGACGGG
rnacentral:rRNA from 1 species